rnacentral:lncRNA from 1 species
AAAGUAUAGUGGACCCAUGUGGGCUGGAUUCAAUCAUCUCAGUGCGGCUUUUGGCAGCUCCGUCACCAAACCUGAGCAGCUCCGCUUCCCAAGGGGCACCGGACGGCAGAGCACACCUCGCUGCCCCUCCUGUGCUUUGACGUGGCUUAGAGACAACGUGGAACUGGGGAAGGAAACCCCAGUUGGGGCUCUCCAAGGAAGCCAGCGGAAACACAGCUCUCAUCAUCGCAUCCCUCUCAGGUAAUUGGGUCAGAAAUCAGGUGAGAUUUGCUCCAAAGCAGAUGCAAUGUAUUGGAUGUCAGUAAUUUUCUGACAGGUUCAGUAGCAGGCUGGGGGCUUGGGAUGGCCAUGAAACCAACGGCUGGUGUUCCCUAUGCUCACCUUUUUCUAGUCCAUUUGCUAUCUAAUGUUUCAAGGUAUGACCUAAGCGUGGCACUCGAGUGGCCAAAGGGGCAGCCCUUGUACUGCCCGCAGUAAAAAACCAGGGUUGCAUCUCAUGUAUUCCCCCAGAAGAACUGAGAACAGCAGCAAGUCGAGGCAUUGCUGGGGCUGUUGAGGACUUUUAAGCUGGAGUGGGCACAGUUCUCUGCCCGAUGCUGUUGGGGACAGCCUGGAUGUGGUGCCCCCAGUCUGGAAGAGCGUAGUGCUGAGGCCUAAAGGCACGUUAAGAUGCUCCCCUGAAGCCCGAGAGCUGCGUUAAGAGCCAGGACAUGCAGUGCAGGAUGUUGGGUGUAGAAAGCAGCUCUCCAAAGCUUGUGCUUGAGCAAGACAGCGAUGAACCGUGUUUCAAGGCUCUGUUCAGCGGCCACCUGGAAUUUUAAGUAAGUGCCUCGAGUUACAAGUAUCUGUUAGGCUUAAGCCUGUCUCUUAUACACAUAGAUG